rnacentral:ncRNA from 1 species
AAGAACGCAUCCGGGUGUUUAACUGUUUCUACUCUGUUUCCUCCCCUCUUGUCUACAUAGACGGACCACCGACGUUUCCAUUGAUACAUGGACGACGGCUUCGUCUGGGCUUGAGGACGGGCAGAGUAAGGCAGUUGAUCUGAGAAAUACCGGCGAACUUGAUCUGGAUAAUACCAGCGAAAGGACAUGCUUCUUUGAAUCCC